CACCAACUCUCGGGGUGCGAGUAUUCUCGCUGAGAUGAUCGAAGAGCCCACAACACCAGCUUAGAGGUGAAGGGCUACAUACUCUCCCAGUUUGAUUUUAGACAAGGUGGCAAGUGUUAGAGCAAUCUGCCUAAAAAAACUGGAAAAAGUAUUAGAUCGGACCCGUUGAACCUGCACUGAUUAAUAUCUGCGGAGGGAAAGAGACUAUGCACGAUU
rnacentral:ncRNA from 1 species